GUGCUUUUGUGAAGGCAACUGAAUUGCCAGUGAAGAGGCCAAGAGAGGAAGAAGAAGAACAAGAAGCAGAUAUGGAGGCAGCCAAUAGCAGCAACAACGGUUGCAGCACCAAUGACAAAGAGGAGUCAUCUCCUUAUAUCUCUUCUAUUCUACCAGGAUGGUUCUCUGAGAUUAGCCCCCUUUGGCCUGGGGAAGCACAUUCGUUGAAGGUUGAGAAGACAUUGUUUCAGGGGAAGUCUGAUUACCAAAAUGUCUUGGUUUUUCAGUCAUCAACUUAUGGAAAGGUGCUUGUUUUGGAUGGUGUGAUCCAACUUACCGAGAGGGAUGAAUGUGCUUAUCAAGAGAUGAUUACUCAUCUUCCUCUUUGUUCAAUUCCCAACCCCAAAAAGGUACUGGUUAUUGGAGGAGGAGAUGGUGGUGUCUUGCGUGAGGUGUCUCAUCAUUCUUCUGUCGAACAGAUCGACAUAUGUGAGAUUGACAAGAUGGUAGUUGAGGUUGCUAAACAAUUUUUCCCAGAUGUAGCUGUAGGAUAUGAGGAUCCACGUGUGAAUCUCUACAUUGGUGAUGGAUUUGCAUUUUUUGAAAAAUGUUCCUGCGGGAACUUACGAUGUUGUCAUAGUGGAUUCAUCUGACCCUAUUGGUCCAGCACAAGAGUUGUUCGAAAAGCCUUUCUUUGAAUCUAUAGCAAGGGCUCUUUGUCCUGGAAGGGUUGUAUCUACAUAGACUGAGAGCAUAUGGCUUCACAUGCACAUAAUUGAAGAAAUUAUUGUUAAUUGCCUCCAAAUCUUCAAAGGCUCAGUCAACUAUGCAUGGACUACUAUUCCUACUUAUCCAAGUGGCAUGAUUGGUUUCAUGCUCUGCUCUACUGAGGGACCUGCAGUUGAUUUCAAGAACCCUAUUAACCCCAUUGACGACGAAAGCCAUGACAAGACCUUUGGACCUUUGAAGUUCUACAACUCUGAGAUUCACCAAGCAUUAUUCUGUUUGCCAUCAUUUGCCAAGAGGGUGAUUGAAUCCAAAGGAAAAUGAUGGGCACUUUUUGAAGGUUGUUAUACAACGGGCCCUAUAGUUAUCACUGUUUUUAAAUUAAAGAUAAUUUAUUAGGUUAUUUAAGCCUAAAGGAGUUGAUGGAAUAUAAUGUCCUUUGU